AGCUUUGCGCAGUGGCAGUAUCGUAGCCAAUGAGGUUUAUCCGAGGCGCGAUUAUUGCUAAUAAAAUGUACCUUUCAACUUCCUACUCUUUCAGGUCUUGCAUGUACAGGUAAUUUGUAAACUAAUCUGAUAAAUCAG